rnacentral:rRNA from 1 species
AGUGAACGCUGGCGGUAGGCCUAACACAUGCAAGUCGAACGGCAGCACAGUAAGAGCUUGCUCUUACGGGUGGCGAGUGGCGGACGGGUGAGGAAUACAUCGGAAUCUACUUUUUCGUGGGGGAUAACGUAGGGAAACUUACGCUAAUACCGCAUACGACCUACGGGUGAAAUCAGGGGAUCUUCGGACCUUGCGCGAUUGAAUGAGCCGAUGUCGGAUUAGCUAGUUGGCGGGGUAAAGGCCCACCAAGGCGACGAUCCGUAGCUGGUCUGAGAGGAUGAUCAGCCACACUGGAACUGAGACACGGUCCAGACUCCUACGGGAGGCAGCAGUGGGGAAUAUUGGACAAUGGGCGCAAGCCUGAUCCAGCCAUACCGCGUGGGUGAAGAAGGCCUUCGGGUUGUAAAGCCCUUUUGUUGGGAAAGAAAAGCAGCAGGUUAAUACCCGGAUGUUCUGACGGUACCCAAAGAAUAAGCACCGGCUAACUUCGUG